rnacentral:lncRNA from 1 species
CCCAAAGCUCUUCCAACAUCUUCCACUUCUUUCUUUAUCUCCACUCUUCACAGCUGCUGCUCAGGCUCUGGAUUCCCUGUUGCGCGUCCCGCCUGCUCCCCGCUCCGGCCAGCGCCCGUCUCGCCUAGAGGCUCCUCUUGCGGAUCAGCCAGGCCAGCGCGACCGCGGGCGUGAGGGCGCACAGCAGGCAUACGGCGGCGGCCAGGCGGCGGCCGGCCCAGCUCGGGCCCCGGCCCCGCGCCUUGCCCCGCGCCGCGCGCUGCUCCAGCUCAUCGGCCACGCGGCGCAGGCGGGCGGCCACCAGGCGGGCGGCGGCCGAGGGCCGGGCGGCGCGGCCGGGGCUGCAGGGGCAGGGCGCGGGGGGGCCGCCGCGCAGCGCGCAC